rnacentral:rRNA from 1 species
GACGAACGCUGGCGGCGUGCUUAACACAUGCAAGUCGAACGGAAAGGCCCUGCCUUUUUGGGGUGCUCGACUGGCGAACGGGUGAUUAACACGUAAGUAACCUGCCCUUGACUUUGGGGUAACUUCAGGAAACUUAGUCUCAUACCUGAUAGGAGCUCCUGCUGCAUGGUGGGGGUUGGAAAGUUUCGGCGGUUGGGGAUGGACUCGCGGCUUAUCGGCUUGUUGGUGGGGUAGUGGCAUACCAAGGCAUCGAAGGGUAGCCGGCCUGAGAGGGUGACCGGCCACAUUGGGACUGAGAUACGGCCCAGACUACUACGGGAGGCAGCAGUGGGGAGUAUUGCACAAUAGGCGGGAGCCUGAGGCGGCAACGCCGCGUGCGGGAUGACGGCCUGCGGGUAGUAAAACGCUUUUGCCUGAGACGAGGCGUGAGUGACGGUAAUGGGUGAAGAAGCACCGGCUAACUACGUG